rnacentral:lncRNA from 1 species
UUCAUCUUCCAGGCUUUCUCUAGCUCCUCUUGAGCCCUUCGUACUUUUCUCGUUUCUCGUAUUCCUUCUUCCUGAUGUUGGUAUCGCUUGGGAUGGUAACAUUUACCACAAUGGCUUUCCUUUGCUGUUUGUUUACGAUCACAAUGUCCGGUUGGUCGGCCAUUACCAUUUUGUCAAUCUGUAUCUGGAAGACCCACACGAUCUUUACUGCUUCAAGGUUCUGGUGUUUCCCAUUUUGACCUCAGGGUUUCCAGUCCAUAUUCUGCACAGACAUUCCUGUACACCAUACCGACUACUUGGUUAUGGCGUUCCAUGUAUGCUUUUCCUGCCAGCAUCUUACAUCCUGCUGUUAGGUGGUGGACUGUUUCAGAGCCCUCUUUGCACAGCCUGCACCUGGGAUCUUGCCUGGUAUGGUAGAUCUGGGCCUCUGUUGCUCUGGUGCUCAAGGCCUGUUCUUGUGCCGCCAUGAUGAGUGCCUCUGUGCUGUCCUUCAGUCCAGCCCUCUCCAGCCAUUGGUAGGAUUUGCUCGUAUCAGCCACUUCAGCUAUCUGUCGGUGGAAUACCCCAUGCAGGGGUUUUUCCUUCCAUAAUGGUUCCUCUGGUUCCUCCUCCCCUGUCGAUUUCCAUUGUCUGAGACACUCACUAAGUGCACCAUCUCAUAGGGACAUCUUCCUGACAUAGUCAUGGAGCUUGGAUGUUUUAUCUUGGAUAGUGGCACUGAUGCUCACUAACCCCCUGCCUUGUUUUUUGCGCUUAGUGCAUAGCCUUUGGAUACUGGACUUGGGGUGUAACCCCCUGUGCAUGGUGAGCAACUUCUGAGUUUUAACAUCUGUGGCCUGAAUUUCCUCCUUUGGCCAGCUUAUUAUUCCAACUGGAUAUCUGAUCAUUAGCUGGCAUAGCUGUUAAUUGCCUGAAUUUUGUUUCUGCCAUUGAGCUGAUUCUUUGGAACGUGCCUUACUCGACUGUCCUGCCUUGGGUCAGCCAUUUUGGGUGGGUCCCAUCUCUCAGCAGUUGGUUCCUUGGUGCUGUCAGGCAGUCAUGGAGUGAGUCCAUGACUGGCUACAGAGUCCAGCCUCUUUAGCCAGUAGGUGUUUUUUGAAAUUAAGUUAAACUACCAAAGCAAUGAAUAAUACUAGCAUAAAUUUCUGUCCAGACUUUUUCUGAAGUGGCAAAACUGGGGCACAAACUUGAAGGGUUGGCAUGGCCAACAGACAGAUAGUUCGGGUUCCUGCAAGACAGCCUUGCUUGCAACCUCAGGGUCAUGAGGCUGCAUGAGCAGGCCAACCUAGAUUAUUUGUAGCUCCUUACUAAAACAUAAUUACUCUAUAUUUCUUAACCUAAAUGUAUGAAGAGAUUCUCCUACAAGGCUCACCCCAAACCAAGGAGGGUCAUCUCCAUCAAUCAUUUUUACUUUUACCAGUAGAAAAGCUUCAAUUAUGUUUUAUCCACCUCACUUGUGGGGGCACUAGUGUGUUAGUGACUAAUCAUUACUAGCCACUACCUUGUUUUUCAUGUAUGCUUAGUUCUUAUUGAGUGUUACUUAUUUGAAAUGUAGUUCUGGUAAGUGUUACGCCAUCCACUGUUGUGCUAACAACCAGAUAAGAUUGAAUUUAUGGCUUGAUUAGCACCCCAAAAAAGGGAGUGUUUCUGUGACCCAUGCUACUGUCUCCAUUGUCUGCCUUUUGAUGACCAAACAAAAAGAUUGUGGUUGAAAAACCUAAACCUGAAGAAAUCACCAAAGACUGUGUCCAGUUUAAGGUAUGGCAGAUGAUGUCCCCAGAUUUUUAAUAAUAAUAAUAAUACAUCAGAUUUCAUAUAGCGCUUUAUCAGAGACCCUCGAAGCGCUUCACAUUGGAUACAUCAUUCAUUCGCUCACACAGUCACACCUUGGUGGUGGUAAACUACCUUAGCAGUCACAGCUGCCCUGGGCCAGACUGAUGGAAACGUGGCUGCCAUUUUGCACCUACGGCCUCUCUGACCACCACCACACAACACUCACAAUCAUACACCAGUGGAGGACACACACUGGGAGCAAGGUGGGUUAAGUGUCUUGCCCAAAGACACAACAGACAGACUUGGGAUAGGGGGGAAUCGAACCGCCAUAUAGUUGCUCUUUUAUUCCCUUUUUUGAACAGUUAAAGAUGUAUCAGUGCUCAACUCAGCAGCACUCUGUCUCCAUGAUGUUAGAAAAAUUAUAAUGCUUUUAAGAUGCUGAAAUAACCAAUAAAAUACAUGAAAACAAAUGGUCAUUUUGUGACUCUUGAAUUGAAUUUCUUUAAUGGAUUUUCUCUAUUACUAACUGGUAUAUUUUAAUAUGACUAGAGAUGCAUCAACAUUUAAUAAAUCAGACUGCAAAUGAUGCCAAGAUAGGUGAUACAGUAAUGAAGAAUAUUUAAAAAAAAAAAGAAAAUCUGUGAGGCGAUGGGGUUCCAUAUACACACCAUUGCCUCAACCUGAUGCUCUCUCUGUGCUGCAGACUUUCUCCAUGGCCUGUUGGGGUUUG